UUUGAGAGAAGCAUAUCACAGAUCUUCAGUUGGUAGAUUUUCUCCAGUAUGGCCCACAAAAUAAAAAGGGGAAGAAUGGGAAGGUCUUUGCUGCAACAAAUUAAGGAGGGUAGAAUGUUGAAUUGGAAUGUGCUACUGAAGAUCCUCUUUGCACCCUUCAAGAAGCAUUCAAGAAGGAAUACAAGAUCCAUGGUACUUGCAAAGUGUCACCUAAUGGUGUACUUGCAGGGUAUGUGCUUUGCUACAAGCUGUGCAGCAUCGGGCUCAAAGCUAGAAAAACUGAUAGUUUCCUUGGCAAACUCAAAGAUUACCCCUGAAUCGCUGUGCUACUUUUUUAUGAUUUCUUUUCUUAACUCACACCAUCAGGACCGCUGGCACAUGUGUUAGAACCAUCAGUUUUUGCUAAAUAUUUCAAGUGACAUGGCUGGAGUUUUUCUUAUGCAAAUGUGUUAGACCUACAUUCCAUAUUACAUUGUUUUGUAUCUCCAUCUAGGAGAGUACAGUCAAUUUUCUAACCUAAUUAUUUAGGCCCAGAAUGGUACAAACUAACAACUACUCCUCUGUUCCAUAUUAGUUGUCGCUGAUUUGGAUGUAUCUAGACACAUUUUGUGAA